CCUACGAGUGACAGCAGUGGGGGAUAUUGCACAAUGGGGGAAACCCUGAUGCAGCGACGCCGCGUGUGGGCAGACGGUCCUCUGGAUUGUAAACCACUGUCCCCAGGGAAGAAGAUGACGGUACCUGGGGAGGAAGCUCCGGCUAACUACGUGCCAGCAGCCGCGGUAAUACGUAGGAGGCACGCGUUGUCCGGAAUUACUGGGUGUAAAGGGAGCGUAGACGGGAUGGCAAGUUGGGGGUUAAAUCUACCGGCUCAACUGGUAGUCGCACUCAAAACUGCUAUUCUUGAGUGAAGUAGAGGCAGGCGGAAUUCCUAGUGUAGCGGUGAAAUGCGUAGAUAUGAGGAGGAACACCAGUGGCGAAGGCGGCCUGCUGGGCUUUUACUGACGCUGAGGCUCGAAAGUGUGGGGAGCAAACAGGAUUAGAUACCCCAGUAGUC
rnacentral:rRNA from 1 species